UCAAGUCAAAAGACUUUUGCAGCACAAAGGCCAAGCCAGCGUCAUGAGUCUCCCUCUUCCCCACUUCCGCCAUCGAUCACUUUGACCGGCUCGGAUUGAAAUAUAGAAGAAGAAUAGAGAAACGAUUCUGUGCACCGCACUGUAGGUGACGAUAGGCAGCCCAUUUUGGAGUGGGAGAUCAGUUUUUCCUCUCGUGUUCUGGUUUUCCAAGAAAGACCGCUCGAUUGCACUCUCAAAAUCAGCAGAACUUGGGGCAUAUCAAUUUGGGGUGCGCGAAUCGGAGGGCACCGGCACUUUGAAAAGUUCUUCCCCUUCAGCAUCAAAUUAAGUCCGUGAAAUAGGUUGAUCAGGUUCGACGAGGUGCUCAUCGGUCUCGAUUCACCUCAUCCGUUGCACCCACACCUGCAACUAUACUGCUCCGGCCGCUGCGACAUCGACCUUUCGGGUGGCGGUCCCUCGAGGGUCCGCUCUAGGUUCGACGCGGCGCUCAUUGGUCUCAAGUUAGUCAAACCACAUUCGGAUCUGAACAUUCAUUUGUUGGAUGCACUUCGUAUAGUCAUGUUAAUUA